CCUACGGGGUGCAGCAGUGAGGAAUAUUGGUCAAUGGACGAGAGUCUGAACCAGCCAAGUAGCGUGAAGGAUGACUGCCCUAUGGGUUGUAAACUUCUUUUAUAUGGGAAUAAAACGUUCCACGUGUGGGAUUUUGUAUGUACCAUAUGAAUAAGGAUCGGCUAACUCCGUGCCAGCAGCCGCGGUAAUACGGAGGAUCCGAGCGUUAUCCGGAUUUAUUGGGUUUAAAGGGAGCGUAGGUGGAUUGUUAAGUCAGUUGUGAAAGUUUGCGGCUCAACCGUAAAAUUGUAGUUGAAACUGGCAGUCUUGAGUACAGUAGAGGUGGGCGGAAUUCGUGGUGUAGCGGUGAAAUGCUUAGAUAUCACGAAGAACUCCGAUUGCGAAGGCAGUUCACUGGACUGCAACUGACACUGAGGCUCGAAAGUGUGGGUAUCAAACAGGAUUAGAUACCCGAGUAGUC
rnacentral:rRNA from 1 species